rnacentral:rRNA from 1 species
AAUGAACGCUGGCGGCAGGCCUAAAACAUGCAAGUCGAGCGCCCUAGCAAUAGGGAGCGGCGCACGGGUGAGUAACACGUGGGAAUAUGCCUUUUGGUACGGAACAACCUCGGGAAACUGAGGCUAAUACCGUAUGGUCCCUUCGGGGUAAAGAUUUAUCGCCAAAAGAGUAGCCCGCGUUGGAUUAGCUAGUUGGUAAGGUAACGGCUUACCAAGGCGACGAUCCAUAGCUGGUCUGAGAGGACGAUCAGCCACACUGGGACUGAGACACGGCCCAGACUCCUACGGGAGGCAGCAGUUAGGAAUAUUGGACAAUGGGCGCAAGCCUGAUCCAGCCAUGCCGCGUGAGUGAUGAAGGCCUUGGUU